GAUGGACGCUGGCGGCGUGCCUAAUACAUGCAAGUCGAGCGAACGGACGAGAAGCUUGCUUCUCUGAUGUUAGCGGCGGACGGGUGAGUAACACGUGGAUAACCUACCUAUAAGACUGGGAUAACUUCGGGAAACCGGAGCUAAUACCGGAUAAUAUUUUGAACCGCAUGGUUCAAAAGUGAAAGACGGUCUUGCUGUCACUUAUAGAUGGAUCCGCGCUGCAUUAGCUAGUUGGUAAGGUAACGGCUUACCAAGACAACGAUGCAUAGCCGACCUGAGAGGGUGAUCGGCCACACUGGAACUGAGACACGGUCCAGACUCCUACGGGAGGCAGCAGUAGGGAAUCUUCCGCAAUGGGCGAAAGCCUGACGGAGCAACGCCGCGUGAGUGAUGAAGGUCUUCGGAUCGUAAAACUCUGUUAUUAGGGAAGAACAUAUGUGUAAGUAACUGUGCACAUCUUGACGGUACCUAAUCAGAAAGCCACGGCUAACUACGUG
rnacentral:rRNA from 1 species